AUGGAGCUGCCCAACUCUAGUGGGGGACAUGGGGAUCCCCUCACCAAAAAGCCUCGGCCGAGCUCGUCGGCGAUGGCGAUGGCGCUUCCUUCCUCUUCCAAGGGCACGGCGGGGGAGCCUAUACCUGUGGAAGAUGCGCCGGAGGCGGGUGUGGAAUGUUUCACGUGCGGCCAUUGGGAUCAUUUUCAGUCCAAAUGCACCUUCAAGCCGCUAUGCGUGCUCUGCAAAGAGGAGGGCCACACUUCGGCGGCCUGUCCUUCUAGUGGUCGCUCCCUCAACCUCCAGAUCAUGGGGAGCGCAAUCACUAGGGAGGGUUUCUUCUUCCUCCAGUUCGACGAUGAUGCGGAGGAGGAGGUGCCUGUGGAUGAGUGGUUCGCGAACUCGGCCAUCCUCUCGGCAGAGCCCAGCAAGCUGUCCCUCCGCAUUCUGCGGCAGGAGCUCAAGCUCAUCGUCGCGGGGCAUUGGGAUUGGCAAGUGAUUCAGGUGGGUGACAAUGACUACCAUGUGGUGUUUCCUUUGGCUGGUCUCUUACACAUGGCUAAAUCGAGUGGCAAGCUCUUCCUGCUCCGCAACAACAUCACGGUUAUGGUGCGAGACAUGCUGCAUGAAGUGAUUCAGCCCAUGGUGAUGCCCGAGGCUUGGGUGCGGCUUCACGGUGUCCUGAAGAAACACCGCAGGGAAGAUAGGAUCAAAGAAGGGUUCAAGAUGUUGGGUCGACCUAUAGUGGUGGAUGAGCUCUCUCUCAUCAGGUUGGGGCCUGUGAGGAUGAAAUUGUCCUGCAAAAAUCCAAACAAAUUCAAUGGGGUGGUGGAAGUUUGGUUUAACCACGAGGGUUAUCAAAUCAAAGUGGAGGUCGAGAGGCUGCCCAAACGUGGGAGUGAUGGUGGCGCUCUGAGGCUGGGACCUACUGAACCUCGCCCCCCCCCCCCCAAUGUCAGUGACAAACCUGAGCAGUUGGGACAGCAGGGAGACAACAACAAGCAAGUGGUUAGCAGUCCUGGUAUGGGCAAAGUUGUGGCAGGAAGGAGCAAUGCAACAGAUUCGAAGGGCGACGUGCAGAUGGCUAAUCAGGAAGAGGAGCUUGAAGAUAGUAUCCAGGACACCUCGAUUGACAUUGAGACUUGGGACAAGUUUGGUGCUUUGAGCGGGGGGACACGGAUUGUGGCGACGCAGGACACUGCGGUUAGUGUGCCCCCGUUAGCCCGCACUUUGGCUGGUGCUUUUAAUGAGUAUGGUUCAAAUUUGGAGUUAUUGGUGCCUUCUCUGCUCUCUGACCCAAUGCUGCUGGAGACUCCACGGGCCCAGGUGAUCUCGUCACCGACCGCGCUGGGGGCCGACUCUGGAUGUGUUCUGAAAAAAGGGACUGGUGCGACCCCUGCGUCCGGUCGCCGUGGCUUGAGUGGGUCAGGCAGACAGCCUAAAAAGAUGGCAGGCAGGAAACCUACAGCCAAGGUGGUGGCAUCAAAGAAGGUGGUGCCUUCUAUGGGGUUGGGCGUGGAGCUGGGUGCGGAGCUGAUGGCGGCGGGGGCUACGGUCAAGGCCAAGAGAUCUAGGGCGACCCCGGUAGAGCCGCGGGCGCCCAAUGUGCGGUCCAAGGCCAAGCUAGGCGGCAUGUCUUCCAUGGAGAGCGCCAAGCUCCGCCUUGCCGACAAGAACCUGGAGACCUCAGGUAAUCCUCUACCUUCCUUUCGAAUUCUCAAUGCUUUCUCCCACGACCACUUGGUUUCGAUCUUAAGUGAUAGUGGUGUAGCGGUUUCGGCCAGUAGUGUUGAUGUUAUUUCUUUGGUCCAUGCGCGGGAAGAGGGCCAUGUCAUGUUGGCUGAGGCGGCAGCCAAGUGUGCUGCUAAUGCCGAAGAGGGACUGGCAACAGCAGGGAAAGUUGCCAGUCCCGUGCCCGAAAAGGAGAUAGAGGAGAGGGAUGCCUCUGUUUUUCCUUCUUUCAGCCGUGCCCCGGCUCGGAAACGCAUGGCUAAGGCGGUGAGCUCGCGAGGAGUUCACCUCAGGAACCACAUUAUCUAA
rnacentral:rRNA from 1 species